AAUGUUAAGAUAGCCAUGCACGUCUAAGUACAAACUAAAUGAUGGUGAAACUGCAAAUGGCUCAUUACAACGGUUAUGAUGUACCCGGGAGUUCCGAUGGAUAUUUCCAGUAACACUAGAACUAAUACAUGUCCCUGCGUUUAUUAGUUUCGCACAGUCCGUCGCUGAGUCAUGGUAAACAGUUGAUCGACUCGACGUCCCGGAACAGUUUCCGCCCCAUCAGCCUCGAUGGUUGGGUAUUGGCCUACCAUUGCAACAACGGGUAACGAGGAAUUAGGGUUUGAUUUCGGAGAGGGAGCCUGAGAAACGGCUACCACAUCUACGGAUGGCAGCAGGCGCGCAAAUUACCCCAAUGCAGACACUGUGAGGUAGUGGACGAGAAAUAAUAAAAGCGGGACUUCUGUUUUCGCUAUUAUAAUGAGGAAAAAACCAAAAGGUCAUUUCCGAUUAACCAACUGAAUGGGAAAAGUCUUUGUUUUUCGCCCCCCCCCGGUAAUACC
rnacentral:rRNA from 1 species